rnacentral:rRNA from 1 species
CACGUAGGGGGCGAGCGUUGUCCGGAUUUAUUGGGCGUAAAGAGCUCGUAGGUGGUUCAGUAAGUCGAGUGUGAAACCUCCAGGCUCAACCUGGAGACGCCACCCGAUACUGCUGUGACUAGAGUCCAGUAGGGGAGCACGGAAUUCCUGGUGUAGCGGUGAAAUGCGCAGAUAUCAGGAGGAACACCGAUGGCGAAGGCAGGUCUCUGGGCCACUACUGACGCUGAGAAGCGAAAGCAUGGGGAGCGAACAGG